UUCCUCUGUAGCCUCACAGGUAAUAGGAAGUAGCUGUGAUCGGUUCCCUUUCUUGCUGCUGACUGUGGCUGGGGGCUAAAGCCUGGUGGGAGAGAGGGGAAGGCAGCCAUAGAAGCUGGGAAAGAUCAGGGAGACCACAGGCCCAGAUUCUCAACACUUCGACAGAGGUCAAGCCUCAGCAGGUCCCGUGACCUUCCAACUUGUGCUGGUGCCUUUCUACCAGUUACCACCUUGGCAACCUUGGCUGCUGUUCCUGUGUUCUGGUCUGCUCCUGUCCAGCUGCCUCUGGUCUGUUAAAACCGAGAAACCUCUCGCCUCUAUGACGGGUUCCACCCCUCCCUAUCCAGUGUACAUAUCUUCCCUGCAGCUGCUGGAAGCCAUUCUACAAACUGACUUCUCCAUCCCUGCACAUGAGGUUUUCUUUAAUUUUGCAUUGCUGGGACUUGAACUCGGGGCCUCCUGAGUACUUCAAAAGUGCUCAGCCACAGAGCCACACCACCAGCCUACAUAGUAUUAGGGGAUUUUAUUUAUUUGUAUUUGAGAGCAUGGAGGGAAUGUGCCUGUGUACUGUGGAGGUCAGAGGUCAACUUGCCAGAGGCAGCCCUGUUUUAUCAUAUCUCUUGGUCAGUCCUAGGGGAUCAAAGCUAGGUUGUCUAGCUUGGAUUCAAGCACCUUUACCUCCUGAGCCAUCUCUUAGACCCAAAAAUACUUACACACACACACACACACACACACACACACACUCUCUCUCUUCUCAGUUCUUUCUCACUCUCCACUAUGUGGGUCUCAGGGGUCUAAUUCAGGUUGGUAGUCUUGGUAUCAAGCACUUCUACCAGCUGAGCCAUCUCACCAGCCCAGAAAUAUUUAUAUAUUGAUCCCUGGUGUGUUUCCCAGCCCUGACUAAGAACAGAAGGUAGUGGGACCUGGGGUCUGUAUCUAUCUAAUCCCAUCUGCUAGGAAGGGUGAGGUGGCAAGAUCUAAGUUUGAGACCAGCCUGGACAAUUUAGCAAGAUUCUAUGCCCACACCCACGACACGAGUCUCCAAUGAGGCCACACCCACCCAACCUUCCCAAACAGUUCCACCAAACAGGGACAAGCAUUCAAAUCUAUGAGCCUGUGGGGGCCACUCUCAUACAGACCAUAUGCAGGUUGAGGAGUCAGAGCAGCUGGACUCGAGGCUUGGUUACCAGCUCUCGGGUGGCUCUGUCAAGUUACCCAACCUAAAGCGGAUUCCCAAGACUGAGUUAUCCAGCUUGGAGGCUGGAACCUGGGUGGCUUCAUAACCUUGGGCAGGCUAGCUCAUGUUCUCCAGCCUCAGUUUCUCCCCUGUGGAAUGGGGGUGACAAUCCACUUAUAUAGUAGGGUUGCCAUGAGGCCAGAGUGAGCAUGGAUUUGUCUGUACAUGUGUGUACAUAUACAUGCACAUAUAAUCAUGUGUCUGUGUGAGAACACAAAUAUGUGUAUGAUGUAUAUGCCACAGUGAAUGCACUUGUUCUUUGGUGUUCCGGAAGGCCUGGUCCCAAGAAUCCCUGAAGACCUCAAACUUCACAGAUGCUCGAGUCCCAUAUAUAAGAUGGGGCAGACUGUGGCGAUGUACAACUCCCAGAUACUCAGAAAGCUGAGGCAGGAGGUUGGUGUAAGCCCAGGGGAUCAACGUCAGCCUGGGAAAAUGGCAUGAGACUACCGUACAGAUUGACCAAUGGAAUAUUCAGCAGGCACCCGUUUAUCCUUGGGACUUGUCAACGCUUCCUGUCAGUAUUGAGGUGGGGUAAGGUAGGCUCCUCUGGAAGGACUUUCAUCCUUAGGGAAAACUAAAACUCUAUCUAGGACCCGUGCCUGCACCAGGCAUCCAGAUGUCUCUCCAUUGACAGUGAACUCUGGGCUAGCCCACGCAUGAGCGCUUUCCCACAGACGAACAAGCAAAAGUAGCCCAGGGCCUGCACUUUUCGCUUUGUCCUUUAUUCCCAUUUCGUUACAAAAAUCCAAGUCACAGAUAGGUAAAAGGCUUGGUGCUGAGGAUCCAGGAUCACUGAUAUAGGUGAAAUGCAACCCCACUGCCCC